AUAAUUGAAGGAUUCCAUGAUUGUAAGCAGCAAAGAUAUAGGAAUAAAUUUCAAUUAUCAUGAUUAUAAAGAGCAUAAAUAAGGAAAAUGAACAGAGGGGAAAGCCUUCAUGUCAUCGCCUGGGUCGCGGCCAUGGGCGGAAUCCUCGCGGUGUUGGGGUGCGCGGCUGCGCCGCCACCUCCCUUGCUGGGCGAUCUCGAAUCAUCGAGUUCUCCCGCAGGUUGCAGCACAGAGGCCCUGAUUGGAGUGGCUUGCAUUGUUGUCAGGAUUGUUAUCUUGCUCGCCAACAAUUGGCUAUUAUAUAUCCUACUUCUGGAGAUCAACCACUCUAUAAUGAAGACAAAUCAAUUGUUGUGACGGUUUGUAAUUAUCCCAUGAACUUUUUAUUUCUGUUAAAUGCAUUCAAUUUGUCAUAGAUUUGAACCUAUUGUUUGUCCAGUAUAUCCAUGUACCAAUUUUUCACAAUAAAAAUGUCUAAGGUCUGCAUGUCA